UACGUAGGGGGCAAGCGUUGUUCGGAAUUACUGGGCGUAAAGGGCGCGUAGGCGGCACGGCAAGUCAGGAGUGAAAGGCCUGGGCUCAACCGAGGAACUGCUUUUGAGACUGCCGAGCUAGAGUGCAGAAGGGGCAACUGGAAUUCCCAGUGUAGCGGUGAAAUGCGCAGAUAUCAGGAGGAACACCGGUGGCGAAGGCGGGUCUCUGGGCCGAUACUGACGCUGAGGAGCGAAAGCGUGGGGAGCGAACAGG
rnacentral:rRNA from 1 species